UACGGAGACUGCCAAGCGUUAGUCCGGAUUAUUGGGUUUAAAGGGUGCGCAGGUUGUUUGAUAAGUCAGUGGUGAAAGUCUGUCGCUUAACGGUAGGAUUGCCAUUGAUACUGUUAGACUUGAAUAUGGAUGAGGUAGGCGGAAUGUGUAGUGUAGCGGUGAAAUGCAUAGAUAUUACACAGAACACCGAUUGCGAAGGCAGCUUACUAAUCCAUCAUUGACGCUGAGGCACGAAAGCGUGGGGAUCAAACAGGA
rnacentral:rRNA from 1 species